CACAUGCAAGUCGAGGGGCAGCAUUGGAGUAGCAAUACUUCAGAUGGCGACCGGCGCACGGGUGAGUAACACGUAUCCAACCUGCCGCUUACUCGGGGAUAGCCUUUCGAAAGAAAGAUUAAUACCCGAUGGUAUAAAGAGUUCGCAUGUUCUCUUUAUUAAAGAAUUUCGGUAAGCGAUGGGGAUGCGUUCCAUUAGAUUGUUGGCGGGGUAACGGCCCACCAAGUCUACGAUGGAUAGGGGUUCUGAGAGGAAGGUCCCCCACAUUGGAACUGAGACACGGUCCAAACUCCUACGGGAGGCAGCAGUGAGGAAUAUUGGUCAAUGGGCGAGAGCCUGAACCAGCCAAGUAGCGUGAAGGAUGACUGCCCUAUGGGUUGUAAACUUCUUUUAUAAGGGAAUAAAGUGAGGGACGUGUCCCUUUUUGUAUGUACCUUAUGAAUAAGGAUCGGCUAACUCCGUGCCAGCAGCCGCGGUAAUACGGAGGAUCCGAGCGUUAUCCGGAUUUAUUGGGUUUAAAGGGAGCGUAGGCGGGUGAUUAAGUCAGUUGUGAAAGUUUGCGGCUCAACCGUAAAAUUGCAGUUGAUACUGGUUGCCUUGAGUACGGUAAAGGUAGGCGGAAUUCGUGGUGUAGCGGUGAAAUGCUUAGA
rnacentral:rRNA from 1 species